rnacentral:lncRNA from 1 species
GAGUGGAUCAUAGAAGGGAGAAAAAAGAAUGAGAAAGGAGCGAAUGAAGGAGGUGGAGAGAUAAGGCUAUAGUUGGUUCUGCGCUCUCGGAGGGGUGCAUAAAUUGACCGACCCCAAAUUAGUCAAUGGCCACCCGCAAAAUUAGCAUGUGGUACAAAUCCAAUCCAUCUAUCGCGAAACGCCACAAGUUGACCUUCAGUAAAGGAAAAAUUAGGCAGCUUGCUGCUGACGCUCGUUAUUGACACACUUUUACCCGUGUUUAUCUUCAAUCAUGACAUGAAUUUAAUACCUAAACU